rnacentral:lncRNA from 1 species
GGGAGAGGGGGAAGGGGGUGGAUAAAGGACGUUUGAGGGUGGGAUUGGCGUAAUCAGAGACAUAGGAGCCCCAUGGGGGAUAGGCACACUGGUGACCAAGGAGGGCCUCCUGGAGGAGGUGGCAUCUGCCCUGAGGCCUGAAGGCUGGAAGGAGCCGCGUGUGAAGACCUAGAAGCCCACCGGGCCGGCAAGAGGGACAGCGCGUACAGUGUCCUUAGGGCUGGAAAGAAGGAAUCGGCCUGUGUGGCUGGAGCUCAGUGUGUGAGGGGACGGACAAGGGGGCAGGCUGGGGCUCAAGGGCUUGCGUGUUGUAAAUGCAGGGGAUGUGAGGGUUUUAAGCAUGGCUGUGGCUGUUUGUACCUUUGAAACACUGCUCCAGUGAGGGUGGGAGGGGGACAGCAGAGGAAGCAGGGAGACAGGUUAGAGCAGCGCUGGGCUGGGGACAGUGGGGGCAGGCGUUCUGCAACCAAUGAGGGCAGAGUUUGGCCGGCGCCCAGGUGUCCGUGGGGAAGAGGGCUGGGAAGUCUGUAGGGAGGAGUGGCAAGGGGGGGAUUGUGCAGUGAGGGCGGCUGCUUCCUCUGGGAGGGACUCGCCUGCCUUUGCCUGCCUCACCCCCAUCACCCGUCAGGGAGCCCUCUGGGGCCCUGUGGCCGAGGCCUGCUCCUUUCAUGGGCUUGUUCCUGCUCGCCCCGGGAGAGCUCCUCAGAUAUCAGUGUAUAGAAGCGUUUUCCAGGUGUUCAAAAUCUACUAUCAAAUGUCUCCUCUCCCCCAGCCCAGCCCUGUCUCAGAUGAGAAGUCUCUCAAGGAGUCACAGACAGCGCUGUCUCGCUGGCUCCACCUUCUGCCCUGCACCCCCGUUUCUGUUUUUGGCUUCUCCAGGAUUGAGAUGGGGAGACCGCAAGGACGUGGCAGGAAGGGGCUUGACUGGCAGGUGCCCUGUGGCUGGAGACCUUCAGAUGUGGCCCCUGCUGGGUUGCUGGCUCUCUCCAAGCGCACUUUUGAGGUGUUCCCUCGCCUGGCUGCUGACGCCUCAGCCUGCCUGUGGUUCCACCCGCCUGGGGAGGACAGCCUGGUGUCCAAGUGCUCCUCUUGGAAGGGCCUUUCUAAGCUGACCGUAUCCUGCUCCUUUGGUAAGGGCCACAUCUUUGUUAUCUCUGUUUAGGAGAUUCUUUUCCUCUUUGCAUGGCAACAGGGCAGGCCUCCUGGCUGGGCAACCUUAGAUGUUU